GAGGAGAGAGGAGAAGAGAGGAGAGGAGAGGAGAGGAGAUCAGACGCAAAAGGAGAGAAAGACAGUGUGUCAGACAGAGUGGAGACAGUGCAAUACACCUUUGGCAGUCUGCGGUUCUCUGCCACCACUCAGGGCCUCAAUGGCUGGACAGGGGUGGUGUGAGGGACUGUGACAGCAGGAGCCAGGAACUGUCCUCGCCCACUGGAGAGAAGAGGAGUGGUGGAGAGGAGUGGUGGGCCCCCAUACAUCACAACGUGUUUGUCACGGGAUCUCACCUGCAAACAGGACGGAUACAUGUGUUCCCUCCAGGCCACCACCCAGGAUGCAUUGACGACGAGAAAUCACAUUCAAUGACUUGUUGCUCCCUUAUUGAUUAGUGUAAUAUUGCACACAAAGAAGUAUGUGAUUAUAUGCCUGAUGAAAAAAAAAAAUUUUCGUUUAUUUAAUCUAGAGGGCAUUUGUUUGUACUGUGUUCUGUGUAAAACCUGUAGAUGUACUGUUCUCAGACUACAAUUUAGAAGGAGGGAAUAAAGUUAGCGUAAAGAAUAGAGCUUUCAUGUAUGAAAAGUGCAAUUUUCAUAAUGAAUACUUAACAUUUGAUGGUGGUGGUAAGUAUUUGUGAAAAAUGUAACAUUUGUGAAUGGGCAGCAUGAAUUCUGGAAAGAAAAACUGCUAAAAAUAUUACACAGUGCACCUUUAAGUGUAUCUCAGACAAAUGGCUAAACUGACAGACAGGCAGGCAGAGAUAUGAAAAGAGAGAGAAAUAAUGGCCUGCCAUCCAGCUCAGAUUUCUCCUUCCG